AAUGAACGUUGGCGGCGUGGAUUAGGCAUGCAAGUCGAGCGGGUAUAGCAAUAUAUCAGCGGCGAAAGGGAGAGUAACGCGUAGCUACGUGCCCCGGAGACCGGAAUAGCCAGCCGAAAGGCUGGGUAAUGCCGGAUGAUGUCUCUGGACUAAAGGGUGUGAUUCCGCUUUGGGAGCGGGCUGCGUUGUACUAGCUAGUUGGUAGGGUAAUGGCCUACCAAGGCGAUGAUGCAUACCGGGCGUGAGAGCGUGGCCCGGCUCACUGGGACUGAGACACUGCCCAGACACCUACGGGUGGCUG
rnacentral:rRNA from 1 species